rnacentral:misc_RNA from 1 species
AUUUUUCAUUCAACUCUUUCAACUGCUAUCAUUAUUCCCAAAAAUAACAUUGUACAAAGUCAAUUUAACAUUAUUGUGCACAUUUUAUUGCUCAUUAAACAACACUUACCAUCUAAAAAUUUUCCCAGAAUAGUUGAUCCUCCACAACAAGAGAAAUCUCCAAGUCUUUAGAUAAUGCGAAAAGCUUGAGAAACUAAAAUAUGAAUUAGAAUCUGGAUUGUGAAAUUCAUUUGACAUCAGGCUUUAGGCGACUCCUUGCAGAAGUGGCGCUCCAUUGUGAUCACCUAACGUUUCAUCUUCUUCUCCGUCUUCAUCUUCCUCUGUUUGCCAGAGAAACCUAGCAUAUGCAGCAAGCACGUCGCUGUCUUGUGGAGAAGCUUGUACUGCCCUCUUAAAGUAGGUUGAGGCUUUAUCUUUAUCCUGAUGAAGUUGCCAUAUCAACAUGGCAUACUGUGAAAUAGUUUCUCCAUCAGUAGGAUCAGCUAGUAUUGCGUGUGAGUAAUAUUCUUCAGCACCUAGUAGGUCUCCCUUAGACUGACUAAGAAACUGAGCAUAGUUUCUUAAAAGCACGGAGUGAUGAGGAUAUUCUUUGAUCAUUCUCAUGUACUCCUCCUCGGCAUUUCCGUCCAUAUCAGAUACAGCUGCAGUAUAAUCAACAGGAGAGCUGCCACCAACUAGAUUAACCCCAAUUCCUAAUCCUGCUGCAAGAUGUAAGGGAGGGCUAACAGGUCUGUCAGCUUCUUCGUAAUCUAAGUUCCGGGAUACAGUAGCUUCCCCACUUUCCUCAAUCUUAGUCUUAUCACUCUGUGUGUUCAUUUCAUCCUCACUUUCAUCGUCAGUAAUGUCCCAGAGGAAACUAGCAUAUGCUCCAAGAACAUGGCUGUUCUCAGGAGCAGUACGUACUGCACGUUCAAAGUAAUCUGAUGCUCUAUCUUUAUCUUGGUGCAGCUCCCAUACUAACUUAGCAUACUGUGACAAGGUAUCUCCAUCUUUUGGAUCAGCUAGUGUAGCUUGAAAGUAAUAGUGUU